rfam:Rothia dentocariosa ATCC 17931, complete genome.
AACGAUGCCCGGUUCUACCGCACGUCCCCACGUGAGGAUGCGCCUCUGCCGUCUACCCCGCAAUACGCGACUAUGGUGGAAGCGCGAAUCACGUGGAUAGCCGCUCACAUGGUAGAGCCUCGACAAGUAAUCAAUUUGUUAAAACGGGUGAGCGGUAACGCUAUGAAGCUCCGGGGACGGAGUGAGCGUGGAUGGCCUUAUUUGGAGCAUU